rnacentral:rRNA from 1 species
GUGCCAGCAGCCGCGGUAAAACGUAGGAGACAAACGUUAUCCGGAGUUACUGGGCGUAAAGGGCGUGCAGGCGGUUCGGUAAGUCUGGCGUGAAAUAUUCCGGCUCAACCGGGACAUGUCGUCGGAGACUGUCGGACUAGAGGGCGAUAGAGGCGGGUGGAAUUCCGGGUGUAGUGGUGAAAUGCGUAGAGAUCCGGAGGAACACCAGUGGCGAAGGCGACCCGCUGGGUCGCACCUGACGCUAAGACGCGACAGCAUGGGGAGCAAACGGGAUUAGAAACCCUCGUAGUCC